ACUCCUACGGGAGGCAGCAGUGGGGAAUUUUGGACAAUGGGGGCAACCCUGAUCCAGCAAUGCCGCGUGUGUGAAGAAGGCCUGCGGGUUGUAAAGCACUUUAGGUGGGGAAGAAAAGCCGACGGCGAAUACUCGUUGGCUGUGACGUUACCCACAGAAUAAGCUCCGGCUAACUUCGUGCCAGCAGCCGCGGUAAUACGAAGGGAGCGAGCGUUGUUCGGAAUUACUGGGCGUAAAGGGCGUGUAGGCUGUUUUGUAAGUCAGGUGUGAAAGGCCAGGGCUUAACCUUGGGGGUGCAUUUGAAACUGCAAGACUAGAGUACGAGAGGGGGUAGUGGAAUUACGAGUGUAGAGGUGAAAUUCGUAGAUAUUCGUAAGAACAUCGGUGGCGAAGGCGUCUACCUGGCUCGAUACUGACGCUAAGGCGCGAGAGCGUGGGGAGCAAACAGGAUUAGAUACCCUGGUAGUCCACGCUGUAAACGAUGAAUGCUAGAUGUCGGGGGGUUAUAACUCGGUGUCGCAGCUAACGCGAUAAGCAUUCCGCCUGGGGAGUACGGUCGCAAGAUUAAAACUUAAAGGAAUUGACGG
rnacentral:rRNA from 1 species